UACGUAGGGCGCAAGCGUUGUCCGGAAUUAUUGGGCGUAAAGAGCUCGUAGGUGGUUUGUCGCGUCUGUCGUGAAAGCCCGGGGCUUAACUCCGGGUCUGCGGUGGAUACGGGCAGACUAGAGGCAGGUAGGGGGAGAACGGAAUUCCGUGGUGUAGCGGUGAAAUGCGCAGAUAUCGAGGAAGAACACCUAGUGGCGAAGGCAGCUCUCUGGGACGGUACUGGA
rnacentral:rRNA from 1 species